UACGGAGGGUGCAAGCGUUACUCGGAAUCACUGGGCGUAAAGCGCGCGCAGGCGGCUCAUUAAGUUGGAUGUGAAAUCCUAUGGCUCAACCAUAGAACUGCAUCCAAAACUGAUGAGCUAGAGUCUGGGAGGGGAAGAUGGAAUUAGUGGUGUAGGGGUAAAAUCCGUAGAGAUCACUAGGAAUACCAAAAGCGAAGGCGAUCUUCUGGAACAGCACUGACGCUGAGGCGCGAAAGCGUGGGGAGCAAACAGG
rnacentral:rRNA from 1 species